UAUCCUGCAUUCACUUACCUUCAUUUCCCAAGUGUGAGACAUUGGUGGAAAGCAAUUUUUUUUUUUCACCAAGCAAGAAGUCAGCAGGUUUAUUCCUACCUCUCCUGCAUCUCAGUAUCUAAUACUUGGACAUCAUGAACAAAUGUAAGACCUUCUGAGGAUAUGGGAUGUCUGCUGAGGAAUAUGAAGAAUGAUGGUAUUCCAUUGUCAGGACUUGCCAAAGAUUAUUUAUCCACUCAUCUACUGAGGAACAUCUUGGUUGUUUCCAAGUUUUGGAUGACAUAAGACAGAGAGCAUGGGCUUCGACAUUAGUAGAUGUGUGUUCAAAUCCUGGCUCUACCACUUAAAGACUAUGAGACAUUAGGCUUACCCCUGCUAUUCAUGGGCAAGCAGGGUUUUCUCCCAUCCAUCAUGCUGCUGAAAGAUUAGCAAGAGAUACAUACCAUCCAGAUCAAAUAUGCUUUAAGAAGAAUUGUGUCCAAGGACUACUACUUUACAACAAGUGUCCUGAAACCCAGAGCAUCUUUUCUUUCAAGUGCACUGGGAAUAAUUUCCAGCUUCUGUCCCAAGAUGUCAAGAUCUGGAAGGUACACUGCAUCCACCUUCACAAUGAGAUAUGCUUUCAAAUGUGUAUUGGAAGUAGCACUGGAAAUUAACCUGCCAUCACCUGCCUGUGACCAAGCAUUCAUCUGAAGCAUUAAUUUCUGAAAAAUACAACAAAGCUGUCUAUCAGAGCUGGGAAAGGCUUGUGAAGGGAACUUGUGUCAAACGUAUUUGAUAGAGAAACACAAAUCACAGAAGCUACAGGACUUGCCAAAAUUUGUAAGGGGUUCUAUAUAACAGAACAGUAUUUCACAAGUGCUAAGGGUUUAUUACCUUCAUCUUAGGAAACAAUUGGCAGUUAUUAUACAGGAACUGUACUUCCCCUUCCUUCUGCCUCUGCUAUUCAACAUCAAGACUGUUUUUCACCCAGCAAAAUAUUCACUCGUGAAGGCCCAGAGCAGGAGUCUUUUGUUUGGUAAGCUUACCUGACUGCUGUAUGGUCUAGCUGGUCCUAGACCUGUUCCCAAAGAGAAAAACCUCACCCCACUUCUAAGACAGCUUUAUUAACAGUUGGUUUAUUGUUCAUUAUGUCGCUUCUGAAGGCUGAGGUUCAGAUUCUGAAUAGCAGACCAUGGUCCAUGGUCGUCUUGUAUUACUGGUACUAGGGCUGUAC